AUUGAACGCUGGCGGCAGGCCUAACACAUGCAAGUCGAACGAGUGGCGGACGGGUGAGUAAUGUCUGGGAAACUGCCUGAUGGAGGGGGAUAACUACUGGAAACGGUAGCUAAUACCGCAUACCAUCAGAUGUGCCCAGAUGGGAUUAGCUAGUUGGUGGGGUAACGGCUCACCAAGGCGACGAUCCCUAGCUGGUCUGAGAGGAUGACCAGCCACACGGGAACUGAGACACGGCCAAGACUCCUACGGGAGGCAGCAGUGGGGAAUAUUGCACAAUGGGCGCAAGCCUGAUACAGCCAUGCCGCGUGGAGGAAGAAGGCCUUCGGGUUGUAAAGUACUUUCAGCGGGGAGGCGUUACCCGCAGAAGAAGCACCGGCUAACUCCGUGCCAGCAGCCGCGGUAAUUC
rnacentral:rRNA from 1 species